rnacentral:tRNA from 1 species
GCGCCCGUACCUCAAUGGAUAGAGGGCCGGACUACGAAUCCGUCUGUUGAGCGUUCGACCCGCUCCGGGCGCA